rnacentral:lncRNA from 1 species
ACAAUUGUCGAUGAUUAAUCUGCAAAACGCAUUUGAACGUUUCAGAUUAUCACCGCGUUUAAUCGCCACCGUGAGACUUCCCGGCAAACAAUUCAAGAGACUGUUACCUCUCUCAUGGAAGCUCGAUGGAGCUGGAGAUUUCAAUUUUGAUUUCAUCAUCAAUUGCAGAACCGGAAUCGCAUCCGCCGCUAAAACAGCUUGAGAUCUAGCCGUCUCCGUCGGCAUUGUUGUCCACGAUUGUCGCAACGUGUAGAUCGUGUCCAUCGCCGAAUCUCUCGCUUCUUGCUCGCCGGAUUUCAAAGCUCCGAUUAAGUGAGGGAUACAAGCGGUAGCUGCUUCCGACGAACGGAGUUUUGGAAACGUUGUGAGAAUCGUGUUUAGCGUUCUCACUAUUUCUACGUUUAUCGCCGUCGUUGUCCAAAACUCUCUCUCCAUCGCAUCUGCAUUGAAAUCAAGACGUAUUCUUGAAGUGUAUGAUUAGAGAAGAGAGAUUUGAUAAUUAGAGCUGCUUGUGUAGAAACUUGUGGAUUACUAGAUCUAAGCAUUUCCUGAACCCAAUAUACUCCACCAGCUUCAGCCAUAGCUUUACGACUUGUUCUACUAUGCAUUGCAAAGUUUUCCAAAGCACGCAUCACAACCAUUUGCAUUUCCUCGCUCGGUUCAUCUUCAAGCAAGCUGAUUAACGCACGACAUGCCACGGGCGAGUCCGUGGCUUUAGCGAGUCCUUCGUGUUGAGAGAUGUCACCUAGAGCCAUUGCUAUGAGAAUUUUUGCGGAUUCUGAUAUUGUGUCUGGGUCUAGUAUGUACUCUGAUAGAGGGGUAAGUACAAACUGACAUAUCUUUGUCUCUCUAACCUUUGGAUUGCGUAGUAUUAAUUCGAGUAAUCUUGCUGAGAGUUCUUCGCAGUGGUGUGAUCUUAGUAGAUCUAGUAAUGCGUCGAGUGCACUGGAUUCUGCCAUUUCUUGAACGCUUGACGAGUCUUGAUUCUCACGGAUGAUCAAUGCGUCGAUGGCUAAGAUCACUGUGCUUUCAGCUGUGGAGAACAACAUUUUUGACAGAACUGGUAUAGUCACCGUAAAGUAAUAGUGUUCUGGGUUGAUUCUGAGAAUGUUGCAGAGAAUGAAAGCUGCUGAUUCCCAUAGAUAUACAGGAAGCUGAGGAUCUUCGUCGAUGAUAACCUUGGAGAGCUCUUGAAUUCCUCCGGUAUCUGCUACCUCUUUUGGCCAUGUAACUGAAGAUCUCUCUAAACCCAUCAAUGCUAUCUCUUGUAAGUUUCUUACUCUGAUCCCUACCAGUUUCACUAGAGGAGCAAUGAGAUUUUUGGUUGUUAUCUCUUCUUGGAAACGUUGCAUUUCGAGUAGAGAGGUCAGUAGUAUUGUGGUUGCAUUUUUGACCGCUAUUGACUCGGACUCAAGCAGUGGUAUCAAAGGCAUAAUGAUUGUGGAAGAUGCAAUUUUCAAUGAUUCAAGAACCAUUGGCUUCUCCAAGAUGUUUGCUAUAGCUUGUAAACCACCGAGUUGACCUUGAAAAUCCAAGUCUUGUCUAAGCAAAAUCAAAAGGAGCGGUUGUACCAUUUUUAUAGCGUCUUGGCUUCGAGCUAUAACACCAACGUUCGUCAAAACUCUGAAAAGAUCUGCGAUUACAGAACACAAAGAACUUGGCGGCGAUUUGGAGAGUUGGCUAAUACAUUUCUCGAUUAUCCCCAUUUUAAUCAGAUCCAUUUUCCGGGGAGUAUUGUCUUUAGCCAUUUUCGUAAGACAAGAAAUUGCAGCCUCACUGAUCAGAUAGUUUUCGGAAGCCACAUAUCCGUAGAACAGGUUCACACAAUCAUGUUCUUCUGCAACCUCUACAAAUCUUUUGAUAUCCAAGAGUCUGUCUAGUGCAAACAUUCCGGCUUCUAUAGCUGUACUUUUUCCUGUUCGGAUAAGUGAUAUAAGGGAUACAAUGCAACAUGCGGCAGAUGUGCUUGUUCUCAAACCUUCAUUGGUAAAUAGAAAGCGGCAUAUCCUUGCAGCACUUGUCUUUGAUUCAAGCGAAGAACUAUCUAAAGACAAAAUUUUGUAGAUGUUGUCCAAUGGGUUUCCUUCAAGACUAGUAAGAAUAUCUGGCCUUGGAUUUAUUCCCAUAGUUAGCUUCACUAAAGCUGUUAGAGCAGCUACUCUCUCACUCUCUAACGUUGUAUUCAACAUUUCAAUAAGAGGAGAAAGUGCUUUCCAUGCUAAUUCAGAAUCUCUGAUGUGCUCAGAGCUAAACAGUUCACAGAGGACCCUUGCAGCAUUGUAGCGAGUACUUCUAGAAGCAAGAUGAAGAAUUCCUAUGAGCUGCUUCAUGGAACUUAUAGCUGUUUUAUGUCGUGUGAUUUCCGGGCUGCGAAAGAGUGAUUCUAACAGUUCAGAAACGGUAAUCUCUGUUGAAUCUUGAGGGCUCAAAGAAAGGUACUUUGCUAAAGCAUCUAGAGCUCCAGCUUCAGCGAUAAGUAAUUUACUUAAAUCGUCAUUGUCUGCAAUACGACGAAGAAGUCGAAUAGCCACUGGAAUGCCUCCAACUUUAUCUGCAUAUGGCUUCAAGAGAUUCACGAGCAAGGGAAUACAUUUUUUGUAAAAUAUCCAUCAAUCAUCUGCUCAGAUUGCAUGAAAGGUGCUAGCGUUUGCAAAAUAUUUUCUGUUGCUGGAGAUGAGACAACCUUUGGUUCCUGAGACAUAACAGCUAAAAAUGACAUAGCGAUCCAUUUUUCCUCGGAAUCAGAGGAAUUCUCCUACAAAAAUUAAAGAUAAUAAGUCAGCAAAACCAACACUUGCAGGAUUUAGAAGAAAAAGCUAAAGAGAGCAAGUAAGUAUACUUAUUUACCUGUGUGUUAGACUUGUUUCUUUGAAGAUUUUCUGCAAUAAUUUCAAGUCCAUUGCCUUCCAUGACAACAAGUCUGUUCGAAGGAUGAGAAGAGCAAAUAAUGGAGAGUAACCACAUAGAGGCGGUGCUUCCCAAGAUAGUAACUGGAUCAACCAUUUCAGAGUCAUCCAUCCUUAAGCACAAAUUGCUUGUAAUAAAAGAUCUUGGUCUUUGAAUUUCAAUUCCAUAUGAAGCAGAUUUAGAGUUCUGCUUUGACAUAUCAAGAAGAGUGUUUACUAAGGUUUUCAAAUACCCUGAUUGUUCAACCGCUUCCGCCCAUAAUGUAAUGUCGUUCUUUGCUGCGCACACAAGCAAGAUCGCUCCUCCAACUUUGAUUUCAGGACUUGAUGAGUUGAUUGUUCUGUUAGCCAAUGAAGAAAUUGAUUUUGAUUGUGUCACCAAAAGUCGACCUAACAAGAUAAAUUGUGUCUUGCAGAAACGAGACAAAAUCUCUAUUGCUUUAUCUUGCACCAAAGGAUGACCUUCAGCUAAACCGCGGACAAGAGAGUCUAAAUUUGAAGGAACUUCACCGAAUGCAGAAAAAGGGUUAUGUGACAAGUUAGCACCAUAUUUAGCUUUGGCUAGUAAAGAGAGUACUUCUAAGACGUCGAUGAAAGCGCUGUUGUUCAGUGUUCCCUCUCUCAGUACUCUGGUCAAAGCAGAAACAACGUCAUCGUUUAAUGCUUCAGCUGCAACAUUUGGGUCUGAAAGAAGGUUCGCAAGAGUGGACAUGGGAUUCUCUGUUGACUCGAUGGGGUUUGUUUUUGCUGACUUUAUCAAUGGUUUGAUCACUUCGACUUCUGGACCGGAUAAUUUCUUUGUUGCAGUUUUUUUCUUUGUUGGAUUAGAUAGAGAGCCCAAGGCAUGCGCUAACUGCGUUGCAACAGCGUGAGUGUUUCCGCUUAAAAGCUUUGUGCACGGAUUGUCAUCCUCAUCAAAUCCAAGACCACCACAAAGGUCUUUUCUUGAACUGAAUAGAUCAGCCAAGACAGAAGCUGCGUUCUCUUUCAUCUUCUCGUUUGAUGAGGCAAGUCUCUGGACAAGCGACCUCAAUCCAUUAUUCGCUGCGGAACCCUUGGUGACAAAUUCUUCCAAAGAAGCCGAUGCAAGAACAUGGCCUAGAACUCUAAUCAAAUGAGUCUUUGAUUUAGGAGCAUCUCCAAGAAACAAAGCCUGUACUUGCUCGAUAACACUUGGAUCAGCUGUUUUAAUCAGUUUCAAAAGCGUAUUUGCUGAGCUCUCUUGUGAUUUUGGUCCACCGUUCUUUAAAAGACCCAAAAGUGCAGGAAUAGCUCCUGCUUUCUCAACGCAGAGGCGGAUUUCUUCGCUGUGACAACAUAGGUUCAAAAUUACACGGACCGCAUCGUCCUUUGCUUUCUGAGAUACACCAGUCUCUAAUAUCUGCAAUAAUGGAGGAAUCCCACCUGCAGAAGUAACAGCCCAUCUACUUUCUUCGACAUUAUCGGUCAAGAUCGCUAAGAACUCAACAGACAGUUCUUGAUGUUGUUCGCUAGACAAACCAAGGUACGGUAUGAGGAUUUGUAUCCCUUCUCUCUUCCCAAUAGCAUCCCAAACAUCACCAUGCUUGCAUAAAUUUGACAAACAAGUAAUCAUCCGCUCACGUGGACCGUCCGUGGCCAAUAUUGUUAGACAGACUAAAACCCUCUUAGCGUCAACAUUGUUGAGUAGUUUUGAUAGAUCAACAUUUCCGAAUAGACUUUCCAUAGCCUCCAAGAUACGUUCGUGGAUCAAUUGAGUAUCCCGGGGCUUUAGUAGUUUCACUAGUAUUCCUUCUGUUAGUGUUGGAUCAAAAGCUUCUCUAGUAUCACCGCAACUUAGCUGAAAUUUUCUCAGAGCAUAAGCAAGAGCUCCAAGAAUAUCAGCGAUGGGCUCAGUGAGGCGUGGAGACAAAGAUAGCCCUCCAAGAUACACUAUCAAACCAGACAUUCCUCCGCAUAAGUUUGCUAAAGCUUGUGUCCCAUAACUUUGUAAGACGCGUUCAGUUUCCUCCUCCACUGACUCUUUAGAAGAUGCAACCACUGCGCUAAUAAGAAGGUGGAUCCCAUCUAAAUCUCUUGCCACAGUUAUAGCUUCUUCUGACUUUGAUGUGAUGGCUUCUAGAGCGUUGACUACACUGGCACGUACGAAAACACUAUUUUCUUCACCUAGAAGCUGAACCAGAACUUGCACAGCACCUGACUCUUCAACUUUUGAGAUACUGCUGGUAAAAAUCCUGAUAAGACGAGCUAAGAGAGAAGCUGCGUUUGAUUGAGAUACCGGGUUACUAGACUGGAGAAGCUUUAAGAUGAUAUCUACUCCGCCAUCUUCAAGUGUUAAUGCCCAAAACCCGUCUUUAUCACCGCAAAGAUUUCUCAAAGCUCCAACCAAAUGUCCUUCCACUGUCUUGUCCUGUUUUUUCCCCGUCUUUAAUUGAUCCCACAAACUCGGUACCACGCCUUCCGUGACAAAUAUUUUAGUACCUACAUUAUCACCAUCCAUUCCACACAAGGAAACUUCAUAUAUGGCCUCGGCUACAACUCUUUUUGCAUCCACAGAGUCAGACUUCAAAAGUGAUAGCAGCGGUGGGAUACAUCCGCCUAUCAGUAUCUUAGAACGAACGUUUUUGUCUUUGCAUAGAACGGUUAGGACUGAAGCGGAAUUGAGUUUUGCCAAGAGGGUUCCACUCCUAAGAAGUGAUAUAAAGGCAGGCAUGGCGUUCACAUUCUGGCUAAUGAUCUUUCUACAUUCCUUUUUACCCUUGGCUAAACCAAGAAGCCGAGCGGUGCUAAGCUCUUUCUCUUGCGCCGAUGAUUUCUUGGCAUGAAGCUGUUCGAUGAGACGUGUGAUUGUAACCGCUGCUUUCUCUGGAUCAUCCAUCUCAGACGUCAUUGUUUUAUUAUCGUCCCUGCACCCAAAAGCCCUCAAUUAUACAAAGAUAAAGAUAGCAAAGCAAAUAGUCAAAAAGUAUUGAAAGCAAUUCGAUACCUCAGCCGAGGAGAAGACACGGAAGGAGUCUCUUGGUCAUUCGUUGAGGAGGGAGGCAUUGACAUAUUCUCUUUUCUGAAGAAACUCCUUUAGAAAACAGAAACAAAAACAUUUAGCUAAAUGGAUUCAACAACAAAUCAAACUAAAGAUAGAAUCCUCUUGAUUUUGUAUUAUUGUCAUUUGGUGAUUAAGAGAUUUUUUUCCUGCCACAAUCAAAUGCACAAUUCAUUUACAAAAUUACCUUUUAUGCAAACGUUCUAUUACUCCUUUUUA